UAUGUGAUCGUCUCUCGCAUAUCAAUAAGCGGAGGAAAAGAAACUAACAAGGAUUCCCCUAGUAACGGCGAGUGAAGCGGGAAGAGCUCAAAUUUGAAAUCUUAAAGGGUUUCCCUUUACGAAUUGUAGUUUAAAGAAGUGUUUUCUGUUGAGGUUUUGGUAAAAGUUCUUUGGAAUAGGACAUCAUAGAGGGUGAGAAUCCCGUAUUUGACCUUUACUUUCAACUUUGUGAUACACUUUCAAAGAGUCGGAUUGUUUGGGAAUGCAGUCCAAAAUGGGUGGUAAAUUUCAUCUAAAGCUAAAUAUUGGCGAGAGACCGAUAGCGAACAAGUACCGUGAGGGAAAGAUGAAAAGAACUUUGAAAAGAGAGUUAAACAGUACGUGAAAUUGUCAAAAGGGAAGCGUUUGACACCAGUGUUGUUUUUCUGAAAAUCAAUUAAAGAACUGUUUAUGCUAAGUUGUUUAGACUUUAUCAGCUAUCUGCUUAGUUUUGAGCUUUUCUUUAAUGCACUUUUCAGUUAACAAGUCAACAUCAAUUUCUUUUGCUGUAAAAAAGCUUGAGGAAGGUGGCUUGAGAUUCGUCUUAAGUGUUUAUAGCCUCUUGCCUAUGCAGUCGGAGAGAUUGAGGUCUGCAGCGUAGAUCCUUCGGGGCUAAAUGCAUUUGUGCUAAGUUAUAGCAUUUUAUAGACAACUUGUUGACUAUGAUUUGUCUUGUAGCUUACUCGCUUAUGUUAUUUUACCUACGCUUAGGAUGUUGAAGACUCUACAGAGAU
rnacentral:rRNA from 1 species